CGUGGGUAGCAAACAGGAUUAGAUACCCUGGUAGUCCACGCCGUAAACGAUGAGCACUAGGUGUCGGGGUCGCAAGACUUCGGUGCCGCAGUUAACGCAUUAAGUGCUCCGCCUGGGGAGUACGCACGCAAGUGUAAAACUCAAAGGAAUUGACGGGGACCCGCACAAGCAGCGGAGCAUGUGGUUUAAUUCGAAGCAACGCGAAGAACCUUACCAGGGCUUGACAUUUAGGUGAAGCGGCGGAAACGUCGUGGCCGAAAGGAGCCUAAACAGGUGGUGCAUGGCUGUCGUCAGCUCGUGUCGUGAGAUGUUAGGUUAAGUCCUGCAACGAGCGCAACCCUCGUCGUAUGUUGCCAGCGGUUAGGCCGGGCACCCAUACGAGACCGCCGGCGUCAAGCCGGAGGAAGGUGGGGACGACGUCAAGUCAUCAUGCCCCUUAUGUCCUGGGCUACACACGUGCUACAAUGGCCGGCACAAUGGGCUGCCAACCCGCGAGGGUGAGCGAAUCCCUAAAGCCGGUCCCAGUUCGGAUUGGAGGCUGCAACCCGCCUCCAUGAAGUCGGAGUUGCUAGUAAUCGCGGAUCAGCACGCCGCGGUGAAUGCGUUCCCGGGCCUUGUACACACCGCCCGUCACACCACGAGAGUUUGUAACACCC
rnacentral:rRNA from 1 species